CCUACCUACAGCCCCCUCCAGACUGUAUAACCCUAUGUCCUGUCUCCUAGGGGUCAGCCUGGGAGCUCUGUGAGGGUGAGACCCGGUCCUUCCAUCAGAGUCCCCAGCAGCUGAUCCAGACAGCGUGCACCCUGCCUCAAUGCUGUGAGACAUUUCAAAGAAUGAAAAGAGCAUCACUUUGGAGCUGCAUGUGUUUGGCAUCUAUCACGAUCACCCUGAAGGUGGGGUCUGCAUUUGAGUCUUGCUGGCUCCCCAGUUCCUAGCAGAAACCCAGCAUGUGGAGGUGGUCAGCAAACACCAAAUCGGAUAGAUUCACUCAGUCAUGUAAUGGCCCAAUGGUGUCAAGUGGCUCUCCGGCACAUGGAGAUUCAGGGACCCAGGCUCCUUCCAUGUCAUGGCUCCAUCAUCCGCUCAGGCCUGAGAAUCCUCAGCUUCCAGACACUGCAGAGCAGGGAGGAGUGCGAAGGAAGAGAGCUGAGAAGCCCCACCAUCUGCUUAAAAGUGCCAGCCUAGAAGUGACACACAUCACUUCCACUCACAUUUGAAUGGUAUAUAAUCAAGCUUGGAAGCAAGAAGGGCUGGGAAAGAUGAUCCUUCACCAGUCAAGUCCCCCCUGGUGACAACUCCGUGCUCUGGAAAGAGGGAGGAGCACGUCUUCUCACCUUACUCCACUGAGCAUGAGGAAACUGGACACUACCCGCACUGUAGGGCAUCCGUGACACUGCCCAUCUGUCUGAGCACGUCGGGGGCAUCCACGGAGCUCAGCCAGGCAGCAGAGCCCAGCAGCUCCACACCUGUUCUCGAGCACAGG
rnacentral:lncRNA from 1 species